rnacentral:rRNA from 1 species
UCUGGAAGGAGAGAUGGCUUAAAGGGGGUGCGCGAGCUUCUUUUUGUGCACUGCUCUAGGAUGGGACUGCGGCCGAUCAGGCUGUUGGUGGGGGUAAUGGCCCACCAAACCUGUAACCGGUACGGGCCUUGAGAGAGGGGGCCCGGAGAUGGACACUGAGAGAAGGGUCCAGGUCCUACGGGGCGCAGCAGGCGCGAAACCUUCGCAAUGCGCGAAAGCGUGACGAGGUUAAUCCGAGUGGUUCCCGCUGAGGGAAUCUUUUGUUGGCUCUAAAAUGGCCAGUGAAUAAGGGGAGGGCAAGUCUGGUGUCAGCCGCCGCGGUAAUACCAGCUCCUCGAGUGGUCGGGGCGAUUAUUGGGCCUAAAGCAUCCGUAGCCUGUUCUGUAGGUCUUCUGUUAAAUCCAACGGCUUAACCGUUGGUCUGCAGAAGAUACCGCAGGACUAGGAGGCGGGAGAGGUGGACGGUACUCCACGUGUAGGGGUAAAAUCCUUUGAUCCGUGGAAGACCACCAGUGGCGAAGGCGGUCCACCAGAACGCGCUCGACGGUGAGGGAUGAAAGCUGGGGGAGCGAACCGGAUUAGAUACCCGGGUAGUCCCAG